rnacentral:rRNA from 1 species
AUUGAACGCUGGCGGCAGGCCUAACACAUGCAAGUCGAGCGGAAGAGUGGAGCUUGCUCCAUGAUUCAGCGGCGGACGGGUGAGUAAUGCCUAGGAAUCUGCCUGGUAGUGGGGGACAACGUUUCGAAAGGAACGCUAAUACCGCAUACGUCCUACGGGAGAAAGCAGGGGACCUUCGGGCCUUGCGCUAUCAGAUGAGCCUAGGCCGGAUUAGCUAGUAGGUGGGGUAAUGGCCCACCUAGGCGACGAUCCGUAACUGGUCUGAGAGGAUGAUCAGUCACACUGGAACUGAGACACGGUCCAGACUCCUACGGGAGGCAGCAGUGGGGAAUAUUGGACAAUGGGCGAAAGCCUGAUCCAGCCAUGCCGCGUGUGUGAAGAAGGUCUUCGGAUUGUAAAGCACUUUAAGUUGGGAGGAAGGGCAGUAAGUUAAUACCUUGCUGUUUUGACGUUACCAACAGAAUAAGCACCGGCUAACUUCGUGCCAGCAGCCGCCGUAAGAC